rnacentral:ribozyme from 1 species
CCAUUUCAUCACCAACAAGGACGACAAAAAAGCAAGAUGGUUAAGCAUAACAACGUCGUCCCUAACCAGCAUUUCCACAAGAAAUGGGCUGGAGGUGCUAAUGGCCAUGCUCGUGGACCUAUCCAUGUUGUGAC